GAAAAACGGAUCUAGAUCCGGGUCCAAUUACCAGACCCGGACCCGGAUCCGUAGAUCCGUUUUAUAAAUUUAUUUUUUUAAAAAAAUAAAAUUCCUAAUACAAGACUCACAAAUUUCGGCCCAUAUCAGAAACUGAAAUCAACCCACAAAAAAAAAAACCUAAUUUUCUCUCUCUAGUUUCAUUCUCCAAUCUCCACCACCCAGCCUACUCUCCACGAGACCACGACUCCAUCAGAUCGGCGGCGAUCUCCAUUCAGUUCUGUUAGAUCGGCGGCGAUCUCCGUUCAGUCCUUUUAUGGAUACACAAUCAAAUUGGAUGAAGAUUAGUCCUUUGGGGAGAUGGAUUUUGGAUGCUCAUAUUGGAUAUAUCAUCGCUAUUUUUUUUUAUUGGUCAUUUGUAACAUCGUACUUUUUUUAAAAUGUUUGGAUUUUUUUUUUUCAAAGACAAUAUGUGUGUUAAUUUGUAUUUUUAGUUGUAUAACUCUAAUUUAUGUAUUGAACUUGGUUGAAAUGCGUUUUUUAUUACAU